CUGGAGAACGGUAGAGAGGAGGAUCACAGACUACUGGAGAACGGUAGAGAGGAGGAUCACAGACUACUGGAGAAUGGUAGAGAGGAGGAUCAUAGACUACUGGAGAACGGUAUAGAGGAGGAUCAUAGACUACUGGAGAACGGUAGAGAGGAGGAUCACAGACUACUGGAGAACAGUAGAGAGGAGGAUCACAGACUACUGGAGAACAGUAGAGAGGAGGAUCAUAGACUACUGGAGAACGGUAGAGAGGAGGAUCAUAGACUACUGGAGAACGGUAGAGAGGAGGAUCAUAGACUACUGGAGAACGGUAGAGAGGAGAACCACAGACUACUGGAGAAUGGUAGAGAGGAGAACCAUAAACUACUGGAGAACGGUAGAGAGGAGGAUCAUAGACUACUGGAGAAUGGUAGAGAGGAGGAUCAUAGACUACUGGAGAACGGUAGAGAGGAGAACCACAGACUACUGGAGAAUGGUAGAGAGGAGAACCAUAAACUACUGGAGAACGGUAGAGAGGAGGAUCAUAGACUACUGGAGAACGGUAGAGAGGAGAACCACAGACUACUGGAGAAUGGUAGAGAGGAGAACCAUAAACUACUGGAGAAUGGUAGAGAGGAGGAUCAUAGACUACUGGAGAAUGGUAGAGAGGAGGAUCAUAGACUACUGGAGAAUGGUAGAGAGGAGGAUCACAGACUACUGGAGAAUGGUAGAGAGGAGGAUCACAGACUACUGGAGAACGGUAGAGAGGAGAACCACAGACUACUGGAGAAUGGUAGAGAGGAGAACCAUAAACUACUGGAGAACGGUAGAGAGGGGGAUCAUAGACUACUGGAGAAUGGUAGAGAGGAGGAUCAUAGACUACUGGAGAAUGGUAGAGAGGAGGAUCAUAGACUACUGGAGAAUGGUAGAGAGGAGAACCAUAAACUACUGGAGAACGGUAGAGAGGAGGAUCAUAGACUACUGGAGAAUGGUAGAGAGGAGGAUCACAGACUACUGGAGAACGGUAGAGAGGAUGUUCACAGACUACUGGAGAAUGGUAGAGAGGAGGAUCAUAGACUCCUGGAGAAUGGUAGAGAGGAGGAUCACAGACUACUAGAGAAUGGUAGAGAGGAGGAUCAUAGACUCCUGGAGAAUGGUAGAGAGGAGGGGACACUAAGGACAGAACACGUGUUGUACUGGUAGAGAGGAGUUUGAGAAGAAUCUCUUGGUUUGGAGGGGGGGUGCUAAAACGGCUGUGUGAAUCACAGAAACAGUCAGGAGGAAGUGUUCUAUAGGAAGCACUGAUACAUCACAUGGUAUAAUGUUCAGACACUAUCAGAGGAGCUUAUUGUUCAUGUAACAUCUCUCAAAAUCUGAAACAACUGUGUGAAUACAAUAUGAGGAACCCAAAUUCCUGUGGACAUUGGUUAAUAAUGAGUAGGGAGGGGAUUCCCUGUAAAAAUCAUCUCCUUUUCCUGUUGUUCUACUUUCAACUACAGUAGAGCUGUAUGCUGUCUCCUAGUGUCUGGUAGAGAGUCAGAGCUUUCAACUACAUUAUCUGUCUGCUGUCUCCUAGUGUCUGGUAGAGAGUCAGAGCUUUCAACUACAGUAGCUGUCUGCUGUCUCCUAGUGUCUGGUAGAGAGUCAGAGCUUUCAACUACAAUAUCUGUCUGCUGUCUCCUAGUGCCUGGUAGAGAGUCAGAGCUUUCAACUACAGUAGCUGUCUGCUGUCUCCUAGUGUCUGGUAGAGAGUCAGAGCUUUCAACUACAAUAUCUGUCUGCUGUCUCCUAGUGCCUGGUAGAGAGUCAGAGCUUUCAACUACAGUAGAGUGGUCUGCUGUCUCCUAGUGUCUGGUAGAGAGUCAGAGCUUUCAACUACAGUAGAGCUGUCUGCUGUCUCCUAGUGUCUGGUAGAGAGUCAGAGCUUUCAACUACAGUAGCUGUCUGCUGUCUCCUAGUGUCUGGUAGAGAGUCAGAGCUUUCAACUACAGUAGAGUGGUCUGCUGUCUCCUAGUGUCUGGUAGAGAGUCAGAGCUUUCAACUACAGUAGAGUGGUCUGCUGUCUCCUAGUGUCUGGUAGAGAGUCAGAGCUUUCAACUACAGUAGCUGUCUGCUGUCUCCUAGUGUCUGGUAGAGAGUCAGAGCUUUCAACUACAAUAGCUGUCUGCUGUCUCCUAGUGUCUGGUAGAGAGUCAGAGCUUUUUAUCUGUCAUUCACAUGCAUGCAUGUACACAAACACACACACAUAC
ensembl:lncRNA